rnacentral:lncRNA from 1 species
GUACCCGGCUCCGGCCUUCACAGGCCUUUCUGCUGCCUCCCCGGGGUUUGUCAGCUCGGUAUACACGGGCUUGUUCCAGUGGCACCAAAACCCUUUGGACAGGCAGUCCCCAGACAGCCAAACCCUGUUUUGCAGAGCUUUAUUUCUGUUCUUUCAAGCAGGAGCUAUUUCGCGCUGGCAAGGAUAGCUCACGGACACAACACAGCGCCUCUCAAGUGCCGGGCAGCUUGCUCUACUGAUGCGCGGAAACAACUCUACAACCUAUAAAGUCAUAAAACUUUACAACUCGCAAGGUUAUAAAGCAGGUCCAGUCUGGGCCCAUUGCCAGGACCAAGGGGAAGCUCCCAGACGCGCUCCAUGGCCAAGGCAGCACGCAAGAUCCACAGCUGUAAUCUCACAUCCGCUUUGUGGGAAUGGGUCUGUGUGUACAGAGCUGUGUACACAAGUCCCUUGAAUAAACAUACAUCGCUGCCAGCUUUCUCCUUGAAUUGUCACAAUAGCAGAGUGUGAACUCCAGGAACUGCAGGCGUACAUCGGCUGCAAAAC